rnacentral:rRNA from 5 species
UUAAAUUGAAGAGUUUGAUCAUGGCUCAGAUUGAACGCUGGCGGCAGGCCUAACACAUGCAAGUCGAACGGUAACAGGAAGCAGCUUGCUGCUUUGCUGACGAGUGGCGGACGGGUGAGUAAUGUCUGGGAAACUGCCUGAUGGAGGGGGAUAACUACUGGAAAC